rnacentral:misc_RNA from 1 species
AAGUCGUAACAAGGUUUCCGUAGGUGAACCUGCGGAAGGAUCAUUAACACUGCUUUGUGCGCCAUCGUAUCGUAGCAAUCCCUGGUAAAUCAUCGCCGGACAGUUUGAUUCAGGGAACGAGUCUAACCAUGUAGCAUAUAGCAAUGGACCUGGCAUUCCUCUGCUUGUUAGUGUCUGAAAGUGUCACUAGCUCUGUACGGAUGGCGCAGUAACGAUCGCUAGAGGCCGACACGGCCGGCGACCAGGUCCCUGGGUGAAAGCCCCCUAUAGUCACCUCCAUUGCACGAUUAACGCGGUGUGCGAUUCGUACGCACCCUCCAUAAAAUGCUUAGAACAACUGUUAACAAUGGAUAUCUUGGUUCUC